rnacentral:tRNA from 2 species
GGGCGGGUAGAUCAGCGGUAGAUCGCUUCGUUCGCAACGAAGAGGCCGAGGGUUCCUGCUUUCUUUUCCG